GGGCCAGUUACGCUAGUCAGAGCAGUGGUAGGGGUAGCGCUGGUCUCUUCAGACAGUCUCUCUCCAUCACCCCCACACUGCUCAGCUCCCCAGAAACCACAGAGGAAAAUGAGCGGAGCAGAGCUGAGAUGGAGCUGCUGCCUGAGCGGAGAACGAAAAGGUGAAACAUCACCCAUCUGGAAUCACAAAACUCACUGGAGUGUCCUCUUAGCAAAGGGAUUUAUUUAUGUUGCCAAAAUAUGUUGCCAUUUUGUUUGUAAUUACUAUUUUCUGAUCACCUGUUUUGUGUAUCUCAUUAGAAGGAAUACAUCAGUAGAUGAGAGUUAUGAGUGGGACUCUGCUGAUGCGUGUGUGGACUCGGAGGUCCUGGAGGCCACAAGGUUUGAUCAGGCACAGACAGGUUUUCGGAGAGGAAGGGGGGAACACAGAUGUGAUCAAACUGCUGGCCUCCAGGAUCAGCAACAGAAAGGCCCGUCUCCCUCAGUCAGCCCACCAGUUUUCAACCCACAUCGCUGCCAGUACAGCCGCUCCCUAAGCGAAGCGCGUUUCAACGCUCUCCGUCUGGAGUACCAAGAGUACAGGCGGGCUCAGGAAUCCGCCUGUUCCCGUGAGCCCUGCCUCACCGUUGGCCAUGAUUCAGACUCUGACUCAAACUCAGCACUGCUCUAGCAGCUUAACCUGGUACAUCUAAGACCAGAUAGCAGUUUUAUGACCAGAUGACACAGCACUGUGGACCUGGACACUGUCAUAUAUUUGUAUGCUUGUUAUGUGAAGGAACCCGCUGUUUAAAGUUCCUCUGUUACAGCACACUAAAGUUGAAUAAUUUAAAGACACAGUGCAGCUGAAUGCGGCCACUACAGCUCUGGUUUUCUCCUUGUACUUGUUCCACUGUACUUUGCCUAAUGAAGUUGAAAAGGAAUUAUUUAUUGUUAUUUUUAUAAGAAGCUUGUGCACCUGUGUUUUGGAAAAUUUCUUUUGAAUCUUGACAAUCAGGCACAAAGGAAUGAAAUGCUUACUAAGGUUUACAGUUGAGAAGGAGCUGCUUUUUAAAAGCAUGCUGUAUAAUAAAGGCUGAAGUCUGACUCCCUUUUCA
rnacentral:lncRNA from 1 species